rnacentral:lncRNA from 1 species
CAGGCGGUCGAGCCUCCGCAACACUCUCAAGUUUUGCCGAUGGAUUAGCCCCCACCAGCGUCGACCAUAUUCUUAACGACAGACGGACUCCUACGGGAGCCGGACUCCGUCCCCAACUUUGAUUGCAGGUAGACUUCGCCCGGACUCCUACGGGAGCCGGACCUCGUCCCCGACUCCGGCUGUAGGAAGACUUCGUCCGGACUCCUACGG